UAUUACAUUUAGGACCACAUUGUUAUUCCU
rnacentral:piRNA from 1 species